rnacentral:tRNA from 1 species
AUUUAGGUAACUUAAUUAAAAGUAAAACAUUGAAAAUGUUUCUAUACGUUCACAUGUCUUAAAUA